rnacentral:rRNA from 1 species
UGGGGAAUUUUGGACAAUGGGCGCGAGCCUGAUCCAGCCAUGCCGCGUGCGGGAAGAAGGCCUUCGGGUUGUAAACCGCUUUUGUCAGGGGAGAAAUCUUCUGAGUUAAUACCUCGGGAGGAUGACGGUACCUGAAGAAUAAGCACCGGCUAACUACGUGCCAGCAGCCGCGGUAAUACGUAGGGUGCAAGCGUUAAUCGGAAUUACUGGGCGUAAAGCGUGCGCAGGCGGUUUUGUAAGACAGAGGUGAAAUCCCCGGGCUCAACCUGGGAACUGCCUUUGUGACUGCAAGGCUUGAGUGCGGCAGAGGGGGAUGGAAUUCCGCGUGUAGCAGUGAAAUGCGUAGAUAUGCGGAGGAACACCGAUGGCGAAGGCAAUCCCCUGGGCCUGCACUGACGCUCAUGCACGAAAGCGUGGGGAGCAAACAGGAUUAGAUACCCUGGUAGUCCACGCCCUAAACGAUGUCAACUGGUUGUUGGGAAGGUUCCUUCUCAGUAACGUAGCUAACGCGUGAAGUUGACCGCCUGGGGAGUACGGCCGCAAGGUUGAAACUCAAAUGAAUUGACGGGGU